rnacentral:rRNA from 1 species
GUUAUAUGGUCAAGUGAAGAAGCGCAUACGGUGGAUGCCUUGGCAGUCAGAGGCGAUGAAAGACGUGGUAGCCUGCGAAAAGCUUCGGGGAGUCGGCAAACAGACUUUGAUCCGGAGAUCUCUGAAUGGGGGAACCCACCUAGGAUAACCUAGGUAUCUUGUACUGAAUCCAUAGGUGCAAGAGGCGAACCAGGGGAACUGAAACAUCUAAGUACCCUGAGGAAAAGAAAUCAACCGAGAUUCCCUUAGUAGUGGCGAGCGAACGGGGAUUAGCCCUUAAGCUUCAUUGAUUUUAGCGGAACGCUCUGGAAAGUGCGGCCAUAGUGGGUGAUAGCCCCGUACGCGAAAGGAUCUUUGAAGUGAAAUCGAGUAGGACGGAGCACGAGAAACUUUGUCUGAACAUGGGGGGACCAUCCUCCAAGGCUAAAUACUACUGACUGACCGAUAGUGAACCAGUACCGUGAGGGAAAGGCGAAAAGAACCCCGGAGAGGGGAGUGAAAUAGAACCUGAAACCGUAUGCGUACAAGCAGUGGGAGCCUACUUGUUAGGUGACUGCGUACCUUUUGUAUAAUGGGUCAGCGACUUAUAUUCAGUGGCAAGCUUAACCGUAUAGGGUAGGCGUAGCGAAAGCGAGUCUUAAUAGGGCGUUUAGUCGCUGGGUAUAGACCCGAAACCGGGCGAUCUAUCCAUGAGCAGGUUGAAGGUUAGGUAACACUGACUGGAGGACCGAACCCACUCCCGUUGAAAAGGUAGGGGAUGACUUGUGGAUCGGAGUGAAAGGCUAAUCAAGCUCGGAGAUAGCUGGUUCUCCUCGAAAGCUAUUUAGGUAGCGCCUCAUGUAUCACUCUGGGGGGUAGAGCACUGUUUCGGCUAGGGGGUCAUCCCGACUUACCAAACCGAUGCAAACUCCGAAUACCCAGAAGUGCCGAGCAUGGGAGACACACGGCGGGUGCUAACGUCCGUCGUGAAAAGGGAAACAACCCAGACCGCCAGCUAAGGUCCCAAAGUUGUGGUUAAGUGGUAAACGAUGUGGGAAGGCUUAGACAGCUAGGAGGUUGGCUUAGAAGCAGCCACCCUUUAAAGAAAGCGUAAUAGCUCACUAGUCGAGUCGGCCUGCGCGGAAGAUGUAACGGGGCUCAAACCACACACCGAAGCUGCGGGUGUCACGUAAGUGACGCGGUAGAGGAGCGUUCUGUAAGCCUGUGAAGGUGAGUUGAGAAGCUUGCUGGAGGUAUCAGAAGUGCGAAUGCUGACAUGAGUAACGACAAUGGGUGUGAAAAACACCCACGCCGAAAGACCAAGGGUUCCUGCGCAACGUUAAUCGACGCAGGGUUAGUCGGUUCCUAAGGCGAGGCUGAAAAGCGUAGUCGAUGGGAAACAGGUUAAUAUUCCUGUACUUCUGGUUACUGCGAUGGAGGGACGGAGAAGGCUAGGCCAGCUUGGCGUUGGUUGUCCAAGUUUAAGGUGGUAGGCUGAAAUCUUAGGUAAAUCCGGGGUUUCAAGGCCGAGAGCUGAUGACGAGUCGUCUUUUAGAUGACGAAGUGGUUGAUGCCAUGCUUCCAAGAAAAGCUUCUAAGCUUCAGGUAACCAGGAACCGUACCCCAAACCGACACAGGUGGUCGGGUAGAGAAUACCAAGGCGCUUGAGAGAACUCGGGUGAAGGAACUAGGCAAAAUGGCACCGUAACUUCGGGAGAAGGUGCGCCGGCUAGGGUGAAGGAUUUACUCCGUAAGCUCUGGCUGGUCGAAGAUACCAGGCCGCUGCGACUGUUUAUUAAAAACACAGCACUCUGCAAACACGAAA